GCAGCAUGGCUAGAGCAGGGGACUAGGGCGCGGGAAGCAGGUUGUGGCCCGGGACCCACAGCCACCGAGGUUGUGGGUCCGGGCAGGCCUCCCGAGAGAGUCCAGGAAGUAGGAGUUUUAGGAAUUCGGAAAGCGGGUGCAGACUUCUGACUGGCUGUUUGAUUUGAGCCCUGUCUCUGGUCUCAAUCUUGUUUCUCCGCAAGGCUUACUUAAGUUUUUACAUUAUCCUAUCAUCAUCAUCACUAUUUUAACGGUCCACUGUAUGUAAGCCCUGGUGGUUCUGCGCAGGGAGCCUGCAGAGCACCUUGAGUUACAGGCUGGGGGAAUGAAGACUUGAAGAAGCUUGAAGCAUGGUCUUUACAUCAAAUGUUGGAGGUAAGCUACGUUUUCCUGGAUGUGAAAAUAGGGCGUUGCACUGCUCUUAAGUAAUACAAGAAGGUGAAACUCAGUGAUGCGAUGAUGAGUGAAGUAGAGUCUGACCUGGUACUGCCACUGCUUCAGUGUUGGCUUUGACCAGGGUUGAGGUGAAAAAUCUGGCUUUGAAAUCUUCCUGGAGGACCACAUCAUUUCAGUCCUGAAUCUGGUUCAGUUCUUUUUUUUAACUUAAUAUUGCAUUAAAAAUGUUUUGCUAAUAA